GGAGGGGUGCCUGAGUGGUUAAAAGGGAUGGGCUGUAAACCCAUUGGCUAUGCCUACGUUGGUUCGAAUCCAACCCCCUCCACCA
rnacentral:tRNA from 2 species